GAAGUCGGCUGGACAGUCGCUGCCACUGUUUACAGUGGGGGAGGAAAGUCCGGGCUCCACAGGGCAGGGUGCCAGGUAAUGCCUGGGGGGCGCAAGCCUACGGAAAGUGCCGCAGAAAAUAACCGCCGAUGGCGUUUUUCUUCGGAAAAAUGCACAGGCAAGGGUGAAAAGGUGCGGUAAGAGCGCACCGCACGGGUGGUAACAUGCCGUGGCUAGGUAAACCCCACUCGGAGCAAGACCAAAUAGGAACCCAACAGGCGUGGCCCGCGCUGGGUUCGGGUAGGUUGCUUGAGCGCUGGAGCGAUCCAGCGCCUAGAGGAAUGACUGUUCACGACAGAACCCGGCUUACAGGCCGGCUUCCGCC
rnacentral:RNase_P_RNA from 1 species